rnacentral:lncRNA from 10 species
CAGUGCCUAAAAGUGCCUUAUAAAACUGUUCAAGGUGCCUUCUAAAACCUACAGUUUAACACGAAAUUGAAAAUGGUGAGAAGUUUCAAAGCAUUGUGCAGUGUCAUAUUGGAGUCUGGAAAGAGGGAAGAUUCUUACCCCGUGAGGGAACCCUUUGCCAACAUUCUGCUCUUGGCUCCUGUCCUCUCCUGUCCUGCUCUGGAACCCAUCACCUGGUGACAAGAAGCUCAUCUCCACGUGGGACAGCCCAUUGAAUCAUCCGAGACUCCUGUUAGAAGUUCCGGUUGCUGUUUCAUUUUGCUUUAUGUUGAGAAAAUACAUCCUUGUAACUAUUUUCCACUGGUAGUUGUUCUUGUUUGCUGGACUUGUGCAUCAGCUCUCACUAUCUUUCACAGGAACGUUUUCUCAACUUUGAAUAUAGUUGAUUCAUUAGCCUGUUCUCAGGCUGCUAAUGAAGAUAUACCCAACACUGGGUAAUUUAAAAAGGAAAG